rnacentral:rRNA from 1 species
UGGGGAGCAAACAGGAUUAGAUACCCUGGUAGUCCACGCCGUAAACGAUGUCUACUUGGAGGUUGUGCCCUUGAGGCGUGGCUUCCGGAGCUAACGCGUUAAGUAGACCGCCUGGGGAGUACGGCCGCAAGGUUAAAACUCAAAUGAAUUGACGGGGGCCCGCACAAGCGGUGGAGCAUGUGGUUUAAUUCGAUGCAACGCGAAGAACCUUACCUGGUCUUGACAUCCACAGAAYUYUSCAGAGAUGCGGAAGUGCCUUCGGGAACUGUGAGACAGGUGCUGCAUGGCUGUCGUCAGCUCGUGUUGUGAAAUGUUGGGUUAAGUCCCGCAACGAGCGCAACCCUUAUCCUUUGUUGCCAGCGGUYMGGCCGGGAACUCAAAGGAGACUGCCAGUGAUAAACUGGAGGAAGGUGGGGAUGACGUCAAGUCAUCAUGGCCCUUACGACCAGGGCUACACACGUGCUACAAUGGCGCAUACAAAGAGAAGCGACCUCGCGAGAGCAAGCGGACCUCAUAAAGUGCGUCGUAGUCCGGAUUGGAGUCUGCAACUCGACUCCAUGAAGUCGGAAUCGCUAGUAAUCGUGGAUCAGAAUGCCACGGUGAAUACGUUCCCGGGCCUUGUACACACCGCCCGUCACACCAUGGGAGUGGGUUGCAAAAGAAGUAGGUAGCUUAACCUUCGGGAGGGCGCUUACCACUUUGUGAUUCAUGACUGGGGUGAAGUCGUAACAAGGUAACCGUAGGGGAACCUGCGGUUGGAUCACCUCCUUA